CCUACGGGAGGCAGCAGUGAGGAAUAUUGGUCAAUGGACGAGAGUCUGAACCAGCCAAGUAGCGUGAAGGAUGACUGCCCUCUGGGUUGUAAACUUCUUUUAUAAAGGAAUAAAACGAGGCUCGUGUGCCUUUUUGCAUGUACUUUAUGAAUAAGGAUCGGCUAACUCCGUGCCAUCAGCCGAGGUAAUACGGAGGAUCCGCGCGUUGUCCGGAUUUAUUGGGUUUAAAGGGAGCGGAGAGGGGGUGUUAAGUCAGUUGUGAAAGUUUGCGGCUCAACCGUGAAAUUGCAGUUGAGACUGGCAGUCUUGAGUACAGAUGAGGUAGGCGGAAUUCGUGGUGUAGCGGUGAAAUGCUUAGAUAUCACGAAGAACCCCGAUUGCGAAGGCAGCUUACUAAACUGUGACUGACAUUGAUGCUCGAAAGUGUGGGUAUCAAACAGGAUUAGAUACCCCAGUAGUC
rnacentral:rRNA from 1 species